UGGGGAAUUUUGGACAAUGGGCGAAAGCCUGAUCCAGCAAUGCCGCGUGUGUGAAGAAGGCCUUCGGGUUGUAAAGCACUUUUGUCCGGAAAGAAAUCCUUGGCUCUAAUACAGUCGGGGGAUGACGGUACCGGAAGAAUAAGCACCGGCUAACUACGUGCCAGCAGCCGCGGUAAUACGUAGGGUGCAAGCGUUAAUCGGAAUUACUGGGCGUAAAGCGUGCGCAGGCGGUUUGCUAAGACCGAUGUGAAAUCCCGGGCUCAACCUGGGAACUGCAUUGGUGACUGGCAGGCUAGAGUAUGGCAGAGGGGGUAGAAUUCCACGUGUAGCAGUGAAAUGCGUAGAGAUGUGGAGGAAUACCGAUGGCGAAGGCAGCCCCCUGGGCCAAUACUGACGCUCAUGCACGAAAGCGUGGGGAGCAAACAGGAUUAGAUACCCUGGUAGUCCACGCCCUAAACGAUGUCAACUAGUUGUUGGGGAUUCAUUUCCUUAGUAACGUAGCUAACGCGUGAAGUUGACCGCCUGGGGAGUACGGUCGCAAGAUUAAAACUUAAAUGAAUUG
rnacentral:rRNA from 1 species